rnacentral:rRNA from 1 species
UACGUAGGGUGCAAGCGUUAAUCGGAAUUACUGGGUGUAAAGCGUGCGCAGGCGGUGAUGUAAGACAGAUGUGAAAUCCCCGGGCUCAACCUGGGAACUGCAUUUGUGACUGCAUCGCUGGAGUACGGCAGAGGGGGAUGGAAUUCCGCGUGUAGCAGUGAAAUGCGUAGAUAUGCGGAGGAACACCGAUGGCGAAGGCAAUCCCCUGGGCCUGUACUGACGCUCAUGCACGAAAGCGUGGGGAGCAAACAGG